CGCCUGGUAGCGGGGGAUAACUAUUGGAAACGAUAGCUAAUACCGCAUAACAGUAGAUAUUGCAUGAUAUCUGCUUGAAAGGUGCAAAUGCAUCGCUACCAGAUGGACCUGCGUUGUAUUAGCUAGUUGGUGAGGUAACGGCUCACCAAGGCGACGAUACAUAGCCGACCUGAGAGGGUGAUCGGCCACACUGGGACUGAGACACGGCCCAG
rnacentral:rRNA from 1 species